CCUACGGGAGGCAGCAGUGGGGAAUAUUGGGCAAUGGGCGCAAGCCUGACCCCGCAACGCCGUGUGAAGGAAGAAGGCUUUCGGGUUGUAAACUUCUUUUAAGGGGGACGAACAAAUGACGGUACCCCUUGAAUCAGCUACGGCUAACUACGUGCCAGCAGCCGCGGUAAUACGUAGGUGGCAAGCGUUAUCCGGAUUUAUUGGGGUUAAAGGGCGUGCAGGCGGGGGCGCAAGUCAGAUGUGAAAACUCAGGGCUCAACCCUGAGCCUGCAUUGGAAGCUGUGUUUCUUGAGUGCUGGAGAGGCGAUCGGAAUUCCGUGUGUAGCGGUGAAAUGCGUAGAUAUACGGAGGAACACCAGUGGCGAAGGCGGAUUGCUGGACAGUAACUGACGCUGAGGCGCGAAAGCGUGGGGAGCAAACAGGAUUAGAUACCCUUGUAGUC
rnacentral:rRNA from 1 species